rnacentral:rRNA from 1 species
GUCUCUUURAGGGGGAAAUAAUAAAGAGUUGKGCCUGCUCAUUGAUUAAUUUAACAGCUGCGGUAUAAUAACUGUACUAAGGUAGCAUAAUAAWUUUCCUUAUAAAUUAGGGCUAGAAUGAAUGGUUUGACGAAAAUUAGACUGUCUUUGUUUAAUUAAUUGAAAUUAAUUUUUAUAGGUGAGAAAGCUUAAAUUAUUUAAAGGGACAAAAGACCCUAUUGAGCUUUUAUUAUUUUUUAAAUUAUUAUUAAUAAGAAAUUUAUGCAAAUAAUUUGAUUGGGGUGAUCAAGGAAUAAAGAAAUAACUUCCUUAAAUAUUAAGGUUUAAUAGGAAAAUAAACCAAAUUUUUGCUUUUAUGAUGAGUUACCAUAGGGAUAACAGGGUAAUUUUUUUWAGAGUUCAUAUUAAAAAAAGAGAUUGCGACCUCGAAGUUGGAUUAAAUUUACAAUUAGGUGAAGAAGCUUAAUUGGGUGAAUCUGUUCGAUUUUUAAAAGUUUAC